rnacentral:rRNA from 1 species
AACGAACGCUGGCGGCAUGCCUAACACAUGCAAGUCGAACGAGACCUUCGGGUCUAGUGGCGCACGGGUGCGUAACGCGUGGGAACCUGCCCUUAGGUUCGGAAUAACUCCCCGAAAGGGGUGCUAAUACCGGAUAAUGUCUUCGGACCAAAGAUUUAUCGCCUUUGGAUGGGCACGCGUUGGAUUAGCUAGUUGGUAGGGUAAAAGCCUACCAAGGCGACGAUCCAUAGCUGGUCUGAGAGGAUGAUCAGCCACACUGGGACUGAGACACGGCCCAGACUCCUACGGGAGGCAGCAGUGGGGAAUAUUGGACAAUGGGCGAAAGCCUGAUCCAGCAAUGCCGCGUGAGUGAUGAAGGCCUUAGGGUUGUAAAGCUCUUUUACCCGGGAUGAUAAUGACAGUACCGGGAGAAUAAGCUCCGGCUAACUACGUG